AUUGAACGCUGGCGGCAUGCUUUUCACAUGCAAGUCGAACGGUAACAGGGUGCUUGCACCGCUGACGAGUGGCGAACGGGUGAGUAAUGCGUCGGAACGUGCCGAGUAGUGGGGGACAACGCAGCGAAAGUUGUGCUAAUACCGCAUACGUACUGAGGUAGAACGUGGGGGACCUUCGGGCCUUGCGCUAUCAGAUGAGCCUAGGUCGGAUUAGCUAGUUGGUGAGGUAAUGGCUCACCAAGGCUACGAUCCGUAACUGGUCUGAGAGGAUGAUCAGUCACACUGGAACUGAGACACGGUCCAGACUCCUACGGGAGGCAGCAGUGGGGAAUAUUGGACAAUGGGCGAAAGCCUGAUCCAGCCAUGCCGCGUGAGUGAAGAAGGUCUUCGGAUUGUAAAGCACUUUAAGUUGGGAGGAAGGGCAGUAAGUUAAUACCUUGCUGUUUUGACGUUACCGACAGAAUAAGCACCGGCUAACUUCGUGCCAGCCGCCGCCGUAACAC
rnacentral:rRNA from 1 species